rnacentral:rRNA from 1 species
CUGGUUGAUCCUGCCAGUAGUCAUAUGCUUGUCUCAAAGACUAAGCCAUGCAUGUCUAAGUAUAAAUGAUAUACAGUGAAACUGCGAAUGGCUCAUUAAAACAGUUAUAGUUUAUUUGGUAAUCGAAUUUACAUGGAUAACCGUGGUAAUUCUAGAGCUAAUACAUGCUGUAAAGCCCGACUCUUCGGAAGGGCCGUAUUUAUUAGAUAACAGACCAAUAUUCCUCGUGUCUAUUGUGGUGAAUCAUAGUAACUAAUCGGAUCGCAUGGGCUAGUCCCGCGACAAACCAUUCAAGUUUCUG